AACAAACGCUGGCGGCGUGCCUAACACAUGCAAGUCGUACGAGAAAUCCUGGGCAACUGGGAGAGUAAAGUGGCGCACGGGUGAGUAACGCGUGGGUAACCUGCCCUUGAAUUGGGGAUAACUCCGCGAAAGCGGGGUUAAUACCGAAUGAUAUUCCGAUUCCUCCGGGAGUUGGAAUCAAAGGUGGCCUCUGCAUGCAAGCUACUGUUCAUGGAUGGGCCCGCGUACCAUUAGCUAGUUGGUAGGGUAACGGCCUACCAAGGCAUCGAUGGUUAGCUGGUCUGAGGGGAUGGGCAGCCACACUGGAACUGAGACACGGUCCAGACUCCUACGGGAGGCAGCAGUGGGGAAUCUUGCGCAAUGGGGGAACCCCUGACGCAGCAACGCCGCGUGGGUGAUGAAGGCCUUCGGGUCGUAAAGCCCUGUCAGGUGGGAAGAACCGUAUCGGUGCAAACAGUGCCGAUGCUUGACGGUACCACCGGAGGAAGCACCGGCUAACUCCGUGCCAGCCGCCGCCGUAACAC
rnacentral:rRNA from 1 species